rnacentral:rRNA from 1 species
UUGUUGGUAAGGUAAAAGCUUACCAAGGCUUCGAUCAGUAGCUGGUCUGAGAGGACGACCAGCCACACUGGGACUGAGACACGGCCCAGACUCCUACGGGAGGCAGCAGUGGGGAAUUUUGGACAAUGGGGGCAACCCUGAUCCAGCCAUGCCGCGUGAGUGAAGAAGGCCUACGGGUUGUAAAGCUCUUUCAGCCGGAACGAAACGGUUACGGAUAACACCCGUGACUACUGACGGUACCGGAAGAAGAAGCACSGGCUAACUACGUGCCAGCAGCCGCGGUAAUACGUAGGGUGCGAGCGUUAAUCGGAAUUACUGGGCGUAAAGCGUGCGCAGGUGGUUUUGUAAGUCAGAUGUGAAAGCCCCGGGCUCAACCUGGGAACUGCGUUUGAAACUACAAGACUAGAGUGUGGCAGAGGGGGGUGGAAUUCCGCGUGUAGCAGUGAAAUGCGUAGAGAUGUGGAGGAACACCGAUGGCGAAGGCAGCCCCCUGGGUCAACACUGACGCUCAGGCACGAAAGCAUGGGGAGCAAACAGGAUUAGAUACCCUGGUAGUCCAUGCCCUAAACGAUGUCAACUAGUUGUCGGGCCUUUACGGGCUUGGUAACGUAGCUAACGCGUGAAGUUGACCGCCUGGGGAGUACGAUCGCAAGAUUAAAACUCAAAUGAAUUGACGGGGACCCGCACAAGCGGUGGAUUAUGUGGAUUAAUUCGAUGCAACGCGAAAAACCUUACCUACCCUUGACAUGUAUCGAAGCCCGCAGAAAAGCGGGGGUGCCCGAAAGGGAACGAUAACACAGGUGCUGCAUGGCUGUCGUCAGCUCGUGUCGUGAGAUGUUGGGUUAAGUCCCGCAACGAGCGCAACCCUUGUCAUUAAUUGCCAUCAUUUAGUUGGGCACUUUAAUGAGACUGCCGG